rnacentral:rRNA from 1 species
GAGUAACGGAGGAGCACGAAGGUUAGCUAAUCACGGUCGGACAUCGUGAGGUUAGUGCAAAGGCAUAAGCUAGCUUGACUGCGAGAGUGACGGCUCGAGCAGGUACGAAAGUCGGGCUUAGUGAUCCGGUGGUUCCGCAUGGAAGGGCCAUCGCUCAACGGAUAAAAGCUACCCCGGGGAUAACAGGCUGAUACCGCCCAAGAGUUCAUAUCGACGGCGGUGUUUGGCACCU